UACGUAGGGGGCAAGCGUUGUCCGGAAUCAUUGGGCGUAAAGAGCGCGUAGGCGGCCCGGUAAGUCCGCUGUGAAAGUCAAAGGCUUAACCUUUGAAUGUCAGCGGAUACUGCCGGGCUAGAGUCCGGAAGAGGCGAGUGGAAUUCCUGGUGUAGCGGUGGAAUGCGCAGAUAUCAGGAGGAACACCAACGGCGAAGGCAGCUCGCUGGGACGGUACUGACGCUGAGGCGCGAAAGCGUGGGGAGCAAACAGG
rnacentral:rRNA from 1 species